rnacentral:rRNA from 1 species
ACGCUGGCGGCAGGCCUAACACAUGCAAGUCGAGCGGUAGAGAGAAGCUUGCUUCUCUUGAGAGCGGCGGACGGGUGAGUAAUGCCUAGGAAUCUGCCUGGUAGUGGGGGAUAACGUUCGGAAACGGACGCUAAUACCGCAUACGUCCUACGGGAGAAAGCAGGGGACCUUCGGGCCUUGCGCUAUCAGAUGAGCCUAGGUCGGAUUAGCUAGUUGGUGAGGUAAUGGCUCACCAAGGCGACGAUCCGUAACUGGUCUGAGAGGAUGAUCAGUCACACUGGAACUGAGACACGGUCCAGACUCCUACGGGAGGCAGCAGUGGGGAAUAUUGGACAAUGGGCGAAAGCCUGAUCCAGCCAUGCCGCGUAUGUGAAGAAGGUCUUCGGAUUGUAAAGCACUUUAAGUUGGGAGGAAGGGCAGUUACCUAAUACGUGAUUGUUUUGACGUUACCGACAGAAUAAGCACCGGCUAACUCUGUGCCAGCAGCCGCGGUAAUACAGAGGGUGCAAGCGUUAAUCGGAAUUACUGGGCGUAAAGCGCGCGUAGGUGGUUUGUUAAGUUGGAUGUGAAAUCCCCGGGCUCAACCUGGGAACUGCAUUCAAAACUGACUGACUAGAGUAUGGUAGAGGGUGGUGGAAUUUCCUGUGUAGCGGUGAAAUGCGUAGAUAUAGGAAGGAACACCAGUGGCGAAGGCGACCACCUGGACUGAUACUGACACUGAGGUGCGAAAGCGUGGGGAGCAAAC